rnacentral:rRNA from 1 species
UGCCUUUUGAAAGCUAUGAGAGGUUCAGCCUGCCCAGUGACCCACGUUCAACGGCCGCGGUAUCCUAACCGCGCGAAGGUAGCAUAAUCAAUUGUCUCUUAAAUGGAGACUUGUAUGAAUGGCAUUACGAGGAUCUAACUGUCUCCCCUCUCUAAUCUGUGAAACUAAUCCCCCUGUGAAAAAGCAGGACUAUCCCUAUAAGACGAGAAGACCCUGUGGAACUUUAAACAAAUAACAAUUGCACCCCCCCCCCUUCCCCCCUUUCUCUUGACUCCCUCUUCCCCCCCCCCGCAUUCUAAUUAAAAGUUUUCAGUUGGGGCGACUGUGGAGAAAAACCCCCCCUCCAUGAUGCCAACCUAAUUUCAAAUCCACAAGCUACAGCUUUACGCAUCAGCAAACUGACAUUCAUUGACCCAUAUACAUGAUCAACGGACCAAGCUACCCCAGGGAUAACAGCGCAAUCCACUUUAAGAGCACAUAUCGACAAGUGGGCUUACGACCUCGAUGUUGGAUCAGGGUAUCCCAGUGGGGCAGCCCCUACUAAAGGUUCGUUUGUUCAACGAUUAAAACCCUA